rnacentral:rRNA from 1 species
ACCCCACGAAGCUGGAUUCGCUAGUAAUCGCGCAUCAGCCAUGGCGCGGUGAAUACGUUCCCGGGCCUUGUACACACCGCCCCGUCAAGCCAUGAAAGCCGGGGGGCGCCUGAAGUCCGUGACCGCGAGGGUCGGCCUAGGGUGAAACCGGUAAUUGGGGCUAAGUCGUAACAAGGUAGC